GCCAUUGCUCUCUCUCUUGCAGUUGGGUUUCUCUGUUUUCUUUUCCUCAAAACAAUUGGAUAGCCAUAGCGCUCUCUCUCUCUAUGUUAGUUGGGCUUCGAUGGCUCAGAACAGUUGGGUUUCACUUUAUCGGUUGGGUUCAUCUCUCUCUUUAGAUGGGUUCUCUUUCUCUAUAUCAGAUGGGAUACCGGUUAGGUUUUUCUCUCUUUAGGUUGGUUCUCUUUCGCUCUCUCAAAUGGGUUUCAUCUGCUGCCUUGAAAUCAGAUUUUGGGAUUCUCUCUUCCUAUUGGGUGGCCACGAUUCUCUUUUAUACCAAUUGAGUUUCUUUUACCUCAAAACAAUUGGUUUUCUCUAUACCAAUUGGGUCUCUCUCUCUAAAUGGGUUAUCUCUCUCUUAGAUGGGUUUCUCUGCCACGUUGGAUCUCUGUUGCCUCAAAAUCAAAUGGGUUCUCUCUCUCUAUGAGAUGUGUUUCUUUGCCUCAAAAUCAAAUGGAUUGACUAUGAUGCAUCAAAAUCAGAUGGUUUUUCUCUCUUUUUCUCUCUAUUAGAUAGGUUCUCCACUCCAACAUCAGUUGGGUUAUACGCUGAUUUUUUUGAAGCCGAUGUAUUGUUGAAUCAGGUUCAGGAAAAACUCAAAUCUGUGCGUUUUAUCCCAAAUCUAAUUUUCUUUGAGCUGUCGUUAAAUUUGGGAAAUUUAAUUAAAGUUUAG
rnacentral:lncRNA from 1 species